rnacentral:rRNA from 1 species
UACGGAGGAUGCAAGCGUUAUCCGGAAUGAUUGGGCGUAAAGGGUCCGCAGGUGGCAGUGUAAGUCUGCUGUCAAAGAAUGAGGCUUAACCUCAUCAAGGCAGUGGAAACUACACAGCUAGAGUACGGUCGGGGUAGAAGGAAUUCCUGGUGUAGCGGUGAAAUGCGUAGAGAUCAGGAAGAACACCGGUGGCGAAGGCGGCAUCCUGGACCAAUAUUGACGCUGAGGAGCGAAAGCUAGGGGAGCAAACGGG